UUUGAAUAAAAUCAGAAUACAAUUGAGUGUCAUUUAUGCUCACAAUUCUGCAUUCCUAUGGAAACAGCUGUGGAAUGAUCUAAGAUCAAUAAAUGUUCCCAAUCAAGAUGCAUGGCAGUUAAGUGGUGAUUUUAAUUCUGUCCUUUGCUCUGAUGAUAGGAUUGGUUCUCCAGUCACUGAUGUUGAAGUUAGAGAAUUUAAAGAGGUCAUUUCUGAUCUCCAAU
rnacentral:lncRNA from 1 species